GAGGGAGGGGGCUAGAGUUGUUCGGAAUGACUGGGCGUAAAGGGCGUGUAGGAUGUAGAUCUAGUCAGGCGUGAAAGCCUUGGGCUUAACCUGAGAAUUGCGUUUGAUACUGGUUGACUUGAGGAUGGGAGAGGAAAUCGGAAUUCCGAGUGUAGAGGUGAAAUUCGUAGAUAUUCGGAGGAACAUCAGAGGCGAAGGCGGCUUUCUGGACCAUAUCUGACGCUGAGGCGCGAAAGCGUGAGGAGCAAACAGG
rnacentral:rRNA from 1 species